rnacentral:rRNA from 1 species
UACGGGGGGAGCAAGCGUUGUUCGGAUUUACUGGGCGUAAAGGGCGCGUAGGCGGCCACCGCAAGUCGGUUGUGAAAUCUCUGGGCUUAACCCAGAAAGGUCAAUCGAUACUGCGGGGCCAGAGUGCAGAAGGGGCAACUGGAAUUCUCGGUGUAGCGGUGAAAUGCGUAGAUAUCGAGAGGAACACCUGCGGCGAAGGCGGGUUGCUGGGCUGACACUGACGCUGACAGCGCGAAAGCUAGGGGAGCGAACGGG